AUGCCACCAGCUGGUGAUACCUAUAAAAUCCAUGCCAAGGGCAAGACCCAAAAAUGAUAAUAAAAAUAGGAGUAACCAACACCUACUGAGUCCUUUGCAAUGUGCCAGGCUCCGUGCUAAGUGAUCUGCAUGCCUCCCCUAUUUAUUCCUCACAACAACUCCAUGAGGCCACUGGACUAUUGUUGGCUUCAUUUCACAUAAGAGGAAAGUGAGGUUCAGAGAGGUUCUGUGAUUUGCCUAAGGUUACACAGCUGGGAGUCCAGUCUACAACCUGGACCAGGUCUGCCUUAAUCCACAUCUUAACCACUGUACAAAAAACUGCCCUCCCUGGAUUCACUGGAGAAGCAACAGAGGGUUACAAGAACUGUGAUUUGAUGUGGCCACCCAUGUGCCCAGAUAAAAAUUACAUUUCCUACUUCCCUUGCAUCUUGGAGUAGCCAAGGCUUAAGUAGAAGUUGCUGAACAAAAAAACUUCCAGAAAAAUCUCUUUGAAGGAGGCUGACUCAGUUGGGAAAGGUGCCCUUCCUAGAUAAAGCUUAAGAAUGUUGGAGCAAAAGAUAGAGGGGUCCUGGGACUCUGACUCCCAGCUGACUCUGGAGCUGCCAUACUGUAAUGUGAGAGAAAAACUCCGAUAUCUUAGUUUAAGUCAUCUUUUUGAAAAGUUUUUCUCUU
rnacentral:lncRNA from 10 species